UGACCAGACUCCUACGGGAGGCAGCAGUCGGGAAUAUUGCGCAAUGGAGGAAACUCUGACGCAGUGACGCCGCGUAUAGGAAGAAGGUUUUCGGAUUGUAAACUAUUGUCGUGAGGGAAGAAAUUGACAGUACCUCAGGAGGAAGCUCCGGCUAACUAUGUGCCAGCAGCCGCGGUAAUACGUAGGUGGCAAGCGUUGUCCGGAUUUACUGGGUGUAAAGGGCGUGCAGCCGGAGAGACAAGUCAGAUGUGAAAUCCACGGGCUCAACCCGUGAACUGCAUUUGAAACUGUUUCCCUUGAGUGUCGGAGAGGUAAUCGGAAUUCCUUGUGUAGCGGUGAAAUGCGUAGAUAUAAGGAAGAACACCAGUGGCGAAGGCGGAUUACUGGACGAUAACUGACGGUGAGGCGCGAAAGCGUGGGGAGCAAACAGGAUUAGAUACCCCAGUA
rnacentral:rRNA from 1 species